rnacentral:rRNA from 1 species
AAAGGAAUUGACGGGGGCCCGCACAAGCGGAGGAACAUGUGGUUUAAUUCGAUGAUACGCGAGGAACCUUACCCGGGCUUGAAAUGCAGAGUGAUAAAUUGGAAACAGUUUAGUCAGCAAUGAACUCUGUGUAGGUGCUGCAUGGUUGUCGUCAGCUCGUGCCGUGAGGUGUCGGCUUAAGUGCCAUAACGAGCGCAACCCUUACCGUUAGUUACCAUCGGGUAAUGCCGGGGACUCUGGCGGGACUGCCACCGUAAGGUGUGAGGAAGGCGGGGAUGACGUCAAAUCAGCACGGCCCUUACGUCCGGGGCGACACACGUGUUACAAUGGGGGGUACAGAGGGUAGCUACCUGGCGACAGGAUGCCAAUCUCAAAAAGCCUCUCUCAGUUCGGAUCGGAGUCUGCAACUCGACUCCGUGAAGCUGGAUUCGCUAGUAAUCGCGCAUCAGCCAUGGCGCGGUGAAUACGUUCCCGGGCCUUGCACACACCGCCCGU